GUCGGCGUAGCGCAGUGGAAGCGCGUCUGCCUCCGGAGCAGAAGGUCCUGGGUUCGACCCCCAGCGUCGAUG